AUGGGAAUCUCAGGACCUGUCCUGUCUGGAUUCUGGCAGCUGGACAGUUCAUAUGUGCUCAGAGAAGCAUUCAGUUGCUUGUGGCUAUUUCUUUCUCCUCCUGAUCUAAGUCUAAAGUUUUUGAUACAGCCUGAAUCACUGUGUAAUAAUUACAAAAAAAACUUCAACGUUGGAACAAAACUUGUUGUCACAGAUAGAAACCUUGCUACAGACAUUUCACCCAAGCCCACUAUUUUUCUUCCUUCAAUUGCUGAAAUCAAUCACAGUAAGACUGGAACAUACCUUUGUCUUCUGGAGAAAUUUUUCCCUGAUAUUAUUAAGGUUUAUUGGAAAGAAAAGGAUGGCAACAAAGCUCUGCCAUCCCAGCAGGGAAAUACCAUGAAGACUACUGACACAUACAUGAAGCUCAGCUGGCUGACCGUGACUGAAAACUCCAUGGAAAAAGAACAUAUCUGUGUCGUCCAACAUGAGAGAAAUAUAGGAGGAAUUAAUCAAGAGAUUCUUUUUCCUUCAAUAAAUGAAGUUGUCAGCUCAAUUGUCCCUACCACUGAGUCUCCCAGUGACUGUUUAAACCAUGAAAGCAAAGUUACCGGUACUGGUUCUAAAAAAGCUUGUCUGAAAGAUGAAAGUGAAGUCACUGCUGAUAAUAAUUCUACAAAAGUGUGUCUGAAAGAUGAAAGCAAUACCCUGCAGCUGCAGCUCAUGAACACCUCUGCCUAUUACACCUAUCUCCUUCUCCUCCUCACGAGUGUGGUCUACUUUAUCAUCAUCACCUCCUGUGUGUUUCGGAGAACAGGCACCUGCUGUGACGGGAAGAACUUGUGA